GGAGGGCGACGAAUGGAAGACUGCCAUGUUCACGCCCCUGGGCACCUAUGAAUACAGAGUUAUGCCCUUUGGAUUACAAAAUGGCUCCCACUGUUUUCAAGCCUUCAUGCAUCACGUAUUGGCGGGUCUCCUCUACAAGAAAUGCGUCUGCUUCCUGGACGACAUCCUGAUAUUUUCAGAAUCAGAGGAGACCCACGAGGGAGACGUCAAGGAAGUUCUGCAGAGACUGCAGGAGCACAGGCUGUACGCCAAGCUGGAGAAGUGCCAGUUCGACAUGAAGGAGGUAGAUUUCCUGGGCUACAAGUUGUCGGACAAGGGGCUCGCCAUGGACAGCGCCAAGGUUCGCUCAGUGUUGGACUGGAAGAGCCCGCGCAAUCGGAAGGAGGUCCAGCGGUUUGUCGGUUUCGCCAACUUUUACCGCAAGUUCAUCAAGGGGUUCGCGAUGCAGACGGCGGCCAUUACCGACACGCUCAGCUCCAAGAAGAAGAAGUUCAUCUGGACGGAGCAAGCGGAGCAGUCCUUUCAGAAACUCAAGCGUCUCUUCUCGUCCGAAGAGCAGCUACUGCAUGUGAAUCCCAGCAGACCGAUGAGGGUUGAAACGGACGCCUCAGACAGAGCCGUGGGAGCAGUACUGUUGCAGCAAGACCCGCAUGGGGACUGGAGACCGUGUGCCUUCUACUCCAGGAAGCUCAGCAAGUCAGAGCAGAACUACACCAUCUGGGACAGGGAGUUGCUGGCCAUUCAUGCAGCAUUCAAGGCGUGGCGGCACUUCCUCAUUGGAGCCAAACACACAGUGCAGGUCCGCACGGACCAUAAAAACCUGGAGUACUGGCGCACGGCAAGGUUCCUGAACCAGAGGCACAUACGAUGGGCGGAGUUCUUUGCGGAUUUCGACUUCAGGAUAGAGUACAUCCCAGGCGACAACAACAUCAUGGCGGAUGCACUGUCCAGAAAGCCGCAAUACCUCGAGGAGGCGGCACCAGCAGCGGCCAAGCACAUUUUCGCACCGAAAGCGUGGGCGUGCGCUUCAGCAACCGUGGACCUGGAUGCUGUACGUCGAGCACUGCAGGAGGACCCCUUCGCGCAAGCAAAGAUGGCAGAGGUGCAAAGGGGCACGGCGGAGGACGACGAGUUCCAGAUACGCGACGGAUUGCUCAUCCGCAGAGGGGCCCUCUACGUACCGGGAGACGACCUCCGCGCGAAAGUACUGCAGCAGUUGCACGACGCACCCACCGCCGGGCACUUUGGCAAAGAGAAGACGGUAGAAUUAGUAGCCAGAGAUUUUUGGUGGCCCAAGAUGCGGGGGGGAAGUCGCGGAUUACGUCUCGAGGUGCGACACCUGCCAAAGGGCCAAGUCAGUGCACAAACCGCCGGCGGGACUGCUCGAACCCCUGCAGACACCGCUCGAACCGUGGGAGAGGGUGGCCCUGGACUUUGUCACGGAUCUACCCAGCUCGAGGGGCAAGACGGCAGUGCUAGUGGUGGUGGACAUGUUCACCAAAAUGGCCCACUUCAUUCCGUGCGCGAAGGUGGCCACGGCGGAACAGACCGCCAAACUGUUCAUAGACCACGUGUUCAGAGUUCACGGUCUGCCACGGUCUAUCCUGUCCGACCGGGGGGCGACAGUUCAUCUCGAACUUCUGGCAGAAGCUGAUGGGUUUCCUGAACGUCAAGAUCAACCUAGCGUCGGCGAGACACCCGCAGACGAACGGACAAGCGGAGCGAGUCAACGCCAUCAUGCAGCAGUACCUGCGAUGCUACGCAAAUCAGCAGCCGGCAACAUGGGUGGACUACCUGCCGCUCGCUGAGUUCGCCUACAACAACACGAAGCACGUGUCCACGGGGGUGACACCGUUCUUCGCCAACAACGGGAGGCAUCCCAGAACCUUCCCGGGAUUAGCGAGAGCGGGGGAGGGGAGCCACAGGCAGCGGAAGCCUUAGCAUCAGAGUUGCAGGAGGUUCACGAACAGCUUAGGAGGCAGUUAGAACUAGCAAAGCACGCAUACAAACUGCAGGCUGACAAGCACAGGAGGGUUGGGGAAGACAUACAGGUGGGAGACUGGGUUUGGUUAGCAGCCCAGGCAGUGCCGGCCAGAUCGUUAGCGAAGAAGAAGCUAGGGCAUAAGCAGCUAGGACCCUACCAAGUCGAGGCACAGGUCAAUCCAGUGGCUUUCCGGUUGACACUGCCGGAGGGAUCCAGAAUGCACCCAGUUUUCCAUAGAUCAGUGCUCACGCCCUACAAAGCACCUCAUAGAUUUCAGGAGCCAGGAACGGCACCAGACCCGUUCAGGGAAACGCCCACAAGGGGGUCGCCAAGGCGGGAACCCGUCAACGAAGUCACAGAGAUUUUAGACUCGAGAUGGGGGAGGAGGGAGUGGAAUACCUCCUCGCCAAGGAAGGUACCCCGGCUAGCGCCAACAGUUGGGUGCCAGAUUAUGCUCUGGAGGAAUCUUGGCUCAAGGACGAGUUCCAUGCACUUUUCCCACACAGGCCCAUGCCAGCCGAGUAUUUCGACGACUGGCUUUUCACACCCACAUUUUCAGCUAGCACAUUCCAGGGGUUCACCUCGGACGAGGAACCGGCACUAGAAGCACGUUCCCCGGAGGGAUCACCCUCGGGGUCUGCCUCAGACCGUUCCUAUUGGUGGGACACUCAACCAGAGGAGCAGUGGCGCAGGAAGUGGUUGGGGGGUCCUUGGCAGGCAACGUCCCCGGAGGAGACCGGGGAGAGACGGACAUGGACGUGUUGGGGGAGGACCUUGGGUUCGAGCACGGCGGCAAAGAGAUGGAAGCAGAGGAAAUUGAGGUCGGCGAGAGCACGGAGGACGAGCCGGACUUAUCCGGCUGGAUGCACGCCACGGGGGACGAACUGUAUCCGGCACUCACCCCCACAACGACGGAGCACCCAGUACCCACACCUGAAGGAGGGGAGGGGGAAGGGGGGCUUCGAGGGGGAUGGAUGUCAGGGGUUCAGGAGCAGAGGCACAGGAAAGGGAGGAAAUAGAGAGCGAGGGGGAGGAGUCCGAAGGAAAUGUUAGCGAUGACAGCGGUCCGAGGUCUCUGAGUCUUUCCAGCGAAUCGGAAGAUUCACAGAAAGGGGCUCCCUUGGUCAGAGCAAGGGGGGUGCCGAGGGGGGACACCCCAGGAAGAAGGGGCCAGAGGGGACUCAGAGAGCAGCAGUUGGAAAUCAGGACCAGCGUCCACACCAGAGUGCAGUAGGGGGGGAGGAGUCCCAGGCAUCGGGAUCAGGCGGCGCACUGCCAGUGGGAGGACAUGAGUCAGGAUUGGCCACGCCUCCAUCGGGGAGCGAGGAAACGGUCGAGAGGAAGGUUGAAGGCUGGGCGCGCGCGCCAAGUUCAAAUGUACAGGAGGGCGGCGCAGUUGGCAGCCCGGAUAGGGAGCCAGGUCCCAAAGCCCGCCGAAAAGAGGGGGAGGAGUCAGCGGGGUCAGCGUCAGAAGAAUCCAGGAAGGAAGGGACCCCGGGGGGUAGCAGGACCCAGAGGAGAAAGGAGAGACGUAAGAGGUGGAGUAAGGCUAGAAUCUUAAACUGGUGUACAGGCGGCGGAGACUCAGAUGGAGCUUCGCCGAUCUAACCCCUAGACGUAGAGCUGGGGCGCUCCGGCUUGAAAAUGGAAACUGUACUUCAAUAAAGACUUUUGUACAUUACUGCCGGAUAGCGUUGGUCCUCUGUGAGCUGGGACCUGGAGCCAGCUCUGACACA
rnacentral:lncRNA from 1 species